GAAGAUCCGUGAGGUGCCCAGAAGAUCAUGCAGUCAUCAGUCCCACGGAGCAGCCUGCGAGGCUGAGGCUCCUCCCACUGGACCGCCCCCCAACUGGCACCACUGCUGCCCCUGCCCCUACUCUCAGCCUCACGUGACUCUCGGGCAGAAGCAGUGGUGGGGCAGCCAGGGCAGCGUCAAGAGUCUGAGCCAGCUGCAGGACAAGUUCGAGCAUCUUAAAAUGAUUCAACAGGAGGAGAUAAGGAAGCUCGAGGAAGAGAAAAAACAACUGGAAGGAGAAAUCAUAGAUUUUUAUAAAAUGAAAGCUGCCUCUGAAGCACUGCAGACUCAGCUGAG
ensembl:lncRNA novel transcript